AUCUGGGUGGUGUAGUUGGUUAUCACGCUAGUCUCACACACUAGAGUCCCCAGUUCAAACCUGGGCUCAGACA
rnacentral:tRNA from 1 species